GACGAACGCUGGCGGCGUGCUUAACACAUGCAAGUCGAACGGAAAGGCCCUGCUUUUGUGGGGUGCUCGAGUGGCGAACGGGUGAGUGACACGUGAGUAACCUGCCCUUGCCUUUUGGAUAACUUCCGGAAACAGGGGCUAAUACCGGAGAUGAGCUCCUGCUGCAUGGUGGGGGUUGGAAAGUUUUGGCGGUCGGGGCUGGCCUCGCGGCUUAUCAGAUUGUUGGUGGGGUAGUGGCGUGCCAAGGCAUUGCCGGGUAGCCGGCCUGAGAGGGUGACCGGCCACAUUGGGACUGAGAUACGGCCCAGCCUCCUAUGGGAGGCAGCAGUGGGGAAGAUUGCACAAUGGGCGGAAGCGUGAUGCAGCAGCGCCGCGUGCGGGAUGACGGCCUUCGGGUUGUAAACCGCUUUCGCCUGUGACGAAGCGUUAGUGACGGUAAUGGGUAAAGAAGCACCGGCUAACUACGUG
rnacentral:rRNA from 1 species